GUGAACCAGCGGAGGGAUCAUUACCGAGUUUACAACUCCCAAACCCCUGUGAACAUACCAAUUGUUGCCUCGGCGGAUCAGCCCGCUCCCGGUAAAACGGAACGGCCCGCCAGAGGACCCCUAAACUCUGUUUCUAUAUGUAACUUCUGAGUAAAACCAUAAAUAAAUCAAAACUUUCAACAACGGAUCUCUUGGUUCUGGCAUCGAUGAAGAACGCAGCAAAAUGCGAUAAGUAAUGUGAAUUGCAGAAUUCAGUGAAUCAUCGAAUCUUUGAACGCACAUUGCGCCCGCCAGUAUUCUGGCGGGCAUGCCUGUUCGAGCGUCAUUUCAACCCUCAAGCCCCCGGGUUUGGUGUUGGGGAUCGGCGAGCCUCACGGCAAGCCGGCCCCGAAAUACAGUGGCGGUCUCGCUGCAGCUUCCAUUGCGUAGUAGUAAAACCCUCGCAACUGGUACGCGGCGCGGCCAAGCCGUUAAACCCCCAACUUCUGAAUGUUGACCUCGGAUCAGGUAGGAAUACCC
rnacentral:rRNA from 1 species